rnacentral:rRNA from 1 species
UACAGAGGAUGCAAGCGUUAUCCGGAAUGAUUGGGCGUAAAGCGUCUGUAGGUGGCUUUUUAAGUCCGCCGUCAAAUCCCAGGGCUCAACUCUGGACAGGCGGUGGAAACUACCAAGCUGGAGUACGGUAGGGGCAGAGGGAAUUUCCGGUGGAGCGGUGAAAUGCGCAGAUAUCCGGAGGAACACCGGUGGCGAAGGCGGCUUCCUGGACCGACACUGACGCUGAGGCGCGAAAGCUAGGGGAGCAAACGGG